rnacentral:rRNA from 1 species
CCGACUGCUAUUGGGUGAGAAUAAGCCAUGCGAGUUGAAUGGGAUACCUAAAGUUCCCAUAGCAAACUGCUCAGUAACGCAUGAUCAACUUACCCUAUAGAGAAAAAUAACCUCGGGUAACUGAGGAUAAUGUUUCAUAAUUGAAUUGGCUUGGAAAAGUUUUUCAAUGAAGAGGAUAAAAGAAAUGGUUUUUAUCUGCUAUAGGAUAGGAUCGUGUUCGAUUAUGGUUGUUGGUGAGAUAAUGGCUCACCAAGCCGAUAAUCGAUAGGGGCCGUGAGAGCGGGAGCCCCGAGAUGGGUACUGAGACAACGACCCAGGCCCUACGAGGCGCAGCAGGCGCGGAACCUCCGCAAUACACGAAAGUGUGACGGGGUUACCCAAAGUGUUCAAUAGAACUGUGGUAGGUGAGUAAUGUCCCCUACUAGAAAGGAGAGGGCAAGGCUGGUGCCAGCCGCCGCGGUAAAACCAGCUCUUCAAGUGGUCGGGAUAAUUAUUGGGCUUAAAGUGUCCGUAGCCGGUUUAGUAAGUUCCUGGUAAAAUCGUGUAGCUUAACUAUCUGCAUGCUAGGAAUACUGCUAUACUAGAGGGCGGGAGAGGUCUGAGGUACUACAGGGGUAGGGGUGAAAUCUUAUAAUCCUUGUAGGACCACCAGUGGCGAAGGCGUCAGACUGGAACGCGCCUGACGGUGAGGGACGAAAGCCAGAGGAGCGAACCGGAUUAGAUACCCGGGUAGUCCUGGCCGUAAACGAUGCAUACUAGGUGAUGGUACGGCCAUGAGCCGUAUCAGUGCCGUAGGGAAACCGUUAAGUGUGCCGCCUGGGAAGUACGGUCGCAAGGCUAGAACUUAAAGGAAUUGGCGGGGGAGCACCACAAGGGGUGAAGCCUGCGGUUCAAUUGGAGUCAACGCCGGG